rnacentral:hammerhead_ribozyme from 1 species
CUACUGAUGAAGAGUCCCAAACUAGGGCUAAACAGAUGUCCAGUAC